rnacentral:snoRNA from 1 species
CUUUAAAAGCAUUUGAUGACCCUUUCACUAAUGACUUGCUGAGCCGUCAAAAAUCUUUAGAGUAUUGGCAUCACCUUUGGGUGAAGCUGCAGUGUUUAGUUGUUCAGUUUCAGUUGGUGGUGUAAGAAGG